rnacentral:rRNA from 1 species
GACGAACGCUGGCGGCGUGCUUAACACAUGCAGGUCGUACGGUAAGGCCCUUUCGGGGGUACACGAGUGGCGAACGGGUGAGUAACACGUGAGUAACCUGCCCACAACUUUGGGAUAACGCUAGGAAACUGGUGCUAAUACUGGAUAUGUGCUCCUGCUGCAUGGUGGGGGUUGGAAAGCUCCGGCGGUUGUGGAUGGACUCGCGGCCUAGCAGCUUGUUGGUGGGGUAGUGGCCUACCAAGGCGGCGACGGGUAGCCGGCCUGAGAGAGUGACCGGCCACAUUGGGACUGAGAUACGGCCCAGACUCCUACGGGAGGCAGCAGUGGGGAAUAUUGCACAAUGGGCGCAAGCCUGAUGCAGCAGCGCCGCGUGCGGGAUGACGGCCUUCGGGUUGUAAACCGCUUUCAGCAGGGACGAAGCUUUUUGUGACGGUACCUGCAGAAGAAGCACCGGCUAACUACGUG